rnacentral:rRNA from 1 species
GUGGGGAAUUUUGGACAAUGGGCGCAAGCCUGAUCCAGCCAUGCCGCGUGAGUGAAGAAGGCCUUCGGGUUGUAAAGCUCUUUCGGUGAAGACGAAACGGUUAGCGUUAAUAGCGCUGACUAAUGACGGUACUCACAGAAGAAGCACCGGCUAACUACGUGCCAGCAGCCGCGGUAAUACGUAGGGUGCAGGCGUUAAUCGGAAUUACUGGGCGUAAAGCGUGCGCAGGCGGUUUGCUAAGACAGGUGUGAAAUCCCCGGGCUUAACCUGGGAAUUGCGCUUGUAACUGGCAAGCUAGAGUGUGGCAGAGGGGGGUGGAAUUCCACGUGUAGCAGUGAAAUGCGUAGAUAUGUGGAGGAACACCGAUGGCGAAGGCAGCCCCCUGGGUUAACACUGACGCUCAGGCACGAAAGCGUGGGGAGCAAACAGGAUUAGAUACCCGAGUAGUCC